UACGUAGGGGGCGAGCGUUGUCCGGAAUUACUGGGCGUAAAGAGCUCGUAGGUGGUUUGUCGCGUUGUCCGUGAAAACUCACAGCUCAACUGUGGGCGUGCGGGCGAUACGGGCAGACUGGAGUACUGCAGGGGAGACUGGAAUUCCUGGUGUAGCGGUGGAAUGCGCAGAUAUCAGGAGGAACACCGAUGGCGAAGGCAGGUCUCUGGGCCACUACUGACGCUGAGAAGCGAAAGCAUGGGGAGCGAACAGG
rnacentral:rRNA from 1 species